UAUUGGAUUGGUGCAAAAGUAAUUGCGGUUUUUGCCAUGAAAGUAGCAGCAAAAACCUCAAUUGCUUUUGCACCAGCCUAAUA
rnacentral:miRNA from 1 species